GCUCAGAACGAACGCUGGCGGCGUGCUUAACACAUGCAAGUCGAACGAUGAAGCUGGAGCUUGCUCCGGUGGAUUAGUGGCGAACGGGUGAGUAACACGUGAGCAAUCUGCCCUUCACUCUGGGAUAACUGCGGGAAACUGUAGCUAAUACUGGAUACGAUCCCUGGGGGCAUCCCUGGGGAUGGAAAGAAUUUCGGUGAAGGAUGAGCUCGCGGCCUAUCAGCUAGUUGGUGAGGUAAUGGCUCGGCAAAGAGACGACGGGUAGCCGGCCUGAGAGGGUGACCGGCCACUUUUCCCCUGAGACACGGACCAGACUCNUACG
rnacentral:rRNA from 1 species